rnacentral:lncRNA from 1 species
UUGCGUCAGCAAGGGCCUUUUUUUUAAGUUAGAGAAUAAAUAGAAAGGAGUAGUAAUUAGGUAGAAAUUCAAUAGAUUUUUGUAUAUGUGUUAGAAAAUCAAAUUAGUGUAAAUUAGUAGUAAUUAGGUUCGUCGCUCCGCCUAGGUUAGAAAUGAAUCAUGUUUCGUCGUGGUUCCGUCCCCGCCUCCGCCGUCCCGCCGCCCUGACCGCCACCGUCCCAACCUGGGCACCGUCCGUGGUUCCAUCCCCGCCUCCGCCGUUCCGCCUCCGUCGCAAAUUCAUGUUAUUGCUAGAAAUUCCAAUAAAUAUGGACAAAUUAGUAGAAAUUUAGUAGAAAUUAAUCAUUGCUGCGGCCACCUCGCUCCGUCCCCGCCUCCGCCGUUCCGCCGCCCCGGCCUCCGCAAAUUCAUGUUAUUGCUAGAAAUUUGUAAAAAAUUCAUGUUAUUGCUAGAAAUUCGUACAAAAUUCAUGUUAUUGCUAGAAAUUCGUACAAAAUUCAUGUUAUUGCUAGAAAUUCGUAAAAAUUCAUGUUAUUGCUAUAAAUUCGUACAAAAUUCAUGUUAUUGCUAGAAAUUCAUACAAAAUUCAUGUUAUUGCUAGAAAUUCGUAAAAAUUCAUGUUAUUGCUAGAAAUUCGUACAAAAUUCAUGUUAUUGCUAGAAAUUCGUGCAAAUUCA